UGCUCAAUGAUUUUUUAAAUUGCUGUAGUAUUUUGACUAUACAAAGGUAUUGAAAUAAGACUUUUAUUGAGUGCUAAGAGAGUGGAAUUACAGGAAAAAUCUUUUUAAACCUAAAAAUUAAAGUUAUUUUUACUUGUGAAGAAACAGUAAUAAGAAUUAAGGACAAGAAGACCCUAAGAAUUUUUUGAAAUGUGUUUCAAUAUGGAAAAUUCAUUUCUUUAAUUGGGGCGAUUAAUUAAUAUUAAAAACUUUUUUGCAAAAAAAGGAACCGCUUACUAGCGGUAAUUUGGUCAAAAUACUCUAGGGAUAACAGCGUAAUAAUUUUAGAUAGUUCAUAUUGACAAAAUAGUUUGCGACCUCGAUGUUGGAUUAGGAUAUUUUUUUAAUGAAGAAGUUAAAAAAAAGAGUUUGUUCAAC
rnacentral:rRNA from 1 species